GAUGAACGCUGGCGGCGUGCCUAAUACAUGCAAGUCGAGCGAACAGACGAGGAGCUUGCUCCUCUGACGUUAGCGGCGGACGGGUGAGUAACACGUGGAUAGCCUACCUAUAAGACUGGGAUAACUUCGGGAAACCGGAGCUAAUACCGGAUAAUAUAUUGAACCGCAUGGUUCAAUAGUGAAAGACGGUUUUGCUGUCACUUAUAGAUGGAUCCGCGCCGCAUUAGCUAGUUGGUAAGGUAACGGCUUACCAAGGCAACGAUGCGUAGCCGACCUGAGAGGGGGAUCGGCCACACUGGAACUGAGACACGGUCCAGACUCCUACGGGAGGCAGCAGUAGGGAAUCUUCCGCAAUGGGCGAAAGCCUGACGGAGCAACGCCGCGUGAGUGAUGAAGGUCUUCGGAUCGUAAAACUCUGUUAUUAGGGAAGAACAAAUGUGUAAGUAACUAUGCACGUCUUGACGGUACCUAAUCAGAAAGCCACGGCUAACUACGUG
rnacentral:rRNA from 1 species